rnacentral:rRNA from 1 species
CGAUUUCCGAAUGGGGAAACCCAACUGCAUAAGCAGUUACUGUUAACUGAAUACAUAGGUUAACAGAGCAAACCGGGGGAACUGAAACAUCUAAGUACCCCGAGGAGAAGAAAUCAACCGAGAUUCCGGUAGUAGCGGCGAGCGAACCUGGAUUAGCCCUUAAGCACUCGGUGAAGUAGGUGAACAAGCUGGAAAGCUUGGCGAUACAGGGUGAUAGCCCCGUAACCGACGCUUCAUCGAGCGUGAAAUCGAGUAGGGCGGGACACGUGAUAUCCUGUCUGAAUAUGGGGGGACCAUCCUCCAAGGCUAAAUACUCCUGACUGACCGAUAGUGAACCAGUACCGUGAGGGAAAGGCGAAAAGAACCCCUGUGAGGGGAGUGAAAUAGAACCUGAAACCGUGUACGUACAAGCAGUAGGAGCACCUUCGUGGUGUGACUGCGUACCUUUUGUAUAAUGGGUCAGCGACUUAUAUUCAGUGGCAAGGUUAACCGUAUAGGGGAGCCGUAGCGAAAGCGAGUCUUAACUGGGCGCUCAGUCUCUGGAUAUAGACCCGAAACCGGGUGAUCUAGCCAUGGGCAGGUUGAAGGUUGAGUAACAUCAACUGGAGGACCGAACCGACUAAUGUUGAAAAAUUAGCGGAUGACUUGUGGCUAGGGGUGAAAGGCCAAUCAAACUCGGAGAUAGCUGGUUCUCCCCGAAAGCUAUUUAGGUAGCGCCUCGGACGAAUACUACUGGGGGUAGAGCACUGUUAAGGCUAGGGGGUCAUCCCGACUUACCAACCCUUUGCAAACUCCGAAUACCAGUAAGUACUAUCCGGGAGACACACGGCGGGUGCUAACGUCCGUCGUGGAGAGGGAAACAACCCAGACCGCCAGCUAAGGUCCCAAAGUAUUGCUAAGUGGGAAACGAUGUGGGAAGGCUCAGACAGCUAGGAUGUUGGCUUAGAAGCAGCCAUCAUUUAAAGAAAGCGUAAUAGCUCACUAGUCGAGUCGGCCUGCGCGGAAGAUGUAACGGGGCUAAGCAAUACACCGAAGCUGCGGCAAUGUCUUUUAGACAUUGGGUAGGGGAGCGUUCUGUAAGCCGUUGAAGGUGAAUCGUAAGGUUUGCUGGAGGUAUCAGAAGUGCGAAUGCUGACAUGAGUAACGACAAAGGGGGUGAAAAACCUCCUCGCCGGAAGACCAAGGGUUCCUGUCCAACGUUAAUCGGGGCAGGGUGAGUCGACCCCUAAGGUGAGGCCGAAAGGCGUAAUCGAUGGGAAACGGGUUAAUAUUCCCGUACUUCUGACUAUUGCGAUGGGGGGACGGAGAAGGCUAGGUGGGCCAGGCGACGGUUGUCCUGGUUCAAGUGCGUAGGCUUGAGAGUUAGGUAAAUCCGGCUCUCUCUAAGGCUGAGACACGACGUCGAGCUACUACGGUAGUGAAGUCAUUGAUGCCAUGCUUCCAGGAAAAGCCUCUAAGCUUCAGAUAGUCAGGAAUCGUACCCCAAACCGACACAGGUGGUCGGGUAGAGAAUACCAAGGCGCUUGAGAGAACUCGGGUGAAGGAACUAGGCAAAAUGGUACCGUAACUUCGGGAGAAGGUACGCUCUUGAUGGUGAAGUCCCUCGCGGAUGGAGCUGACGAGAGUCGCAGAUACCAGGUGGCUGCAACUGUUUAUUAAAAACACAGCACUGUGCAAAAUCGCAAGAUGACGUAUACGGUGUGACGCCUGCCCGGUGCCGGAAGGUUAAUUGAUGGGGUUAGCGCAAGCGAAGCUCUUGAUCGAAGCCCCGGUAAACGGCGGCCGUAACUAUAACGGUCCUAAGGUAGCGAAAUUCCUUGUCGGGUAAGUUCCGACCUGCACGAAUGGCGUAAUGAUGGCCACGCUGUCUCCACCCGAGACUCAGUGAAAUUGAAAUCGCUGUGAAGAUGCAGUGUACCCGCGGCUAGACGGAAAGACCCCGUGAACCUUUACUACAGCUUGGCACUGAACAUUGAACCUACAUGUGUAGGAUAGGUGGGAGGCUAUGAAGACGUGACGCCAGUUGCGUUGGAGCCGUCCUUGAAAUACCACCCUUGUAUGUUUGAUGUUCUAACUUAGACCCAUUAUCUGGGUUGAGGACAGUGCCUGGUGGGUAGUUUGACUGGGGCGGUCUCCUCCCAAAGAGUAACGGAGGAGCACGAAGGUGGGCUAAUCACGGUUGGACAUCGUGAGGUUAGUGCAAUGGCAUAAGCCCGCUUAACUGCGAGAAUGACGGUUCGAGCAGGUGCGAAAGCAGGUCAUAGUGAUCCGGUGGUUCUGUAUGGAAGGGCCAUCGCUCAACGGAUAAAAGGUACUCCGGGGAUAACAGGCUGAUACCGCCCAAGAGUUCAUAUCGACGGCGGUGUUUGGCACCUCGAUGUCGGCUCAUCACAUCCUGGGGCUGAAGUCGGUCCCAAGGGUAUGGCUGUUCGCCAUUUAAAGUGGUACGCGAGCUGGGUUUAGAACGUCGUGAGACAGUUCGGUCCCUAUCUGCCGUGGGCGUUGGAAGAUUGAAGGGGGCUGCUCCUAGUACGAGAGGACCGGAGUGGACGAACCUCUGGUGUUCGGGUUGUGUCGCCAGACGCAUUGCCCGGUAGCUAAGUUCGGAAUUGAUAAGCGCUGAAAGCAUCUAAGCGCGAAGCGAGCCCUGAGAUGAGUCUUCCCUGACAGUUUAACUGUCCUAAAGGGUUGUUCGAGACUAGAACGUUGAUAGGCAGGGUGUGUAAGCGUUGUGAGGCGUUGAGCUAACCUGUACUAAUUGCCCGUGAGGCUUAACCA